GACGAACGCUGGCGGCGUGCCUAAUACAUGCAAGUAGAACGCUGAAGGAGGAGCUUGCUUCUCUGGAUGAGUUGCGAACGGGUGAGUAACGCGUAGGUAACCUGCCUGGUAGCGGGGGAUAACUAUUGGAAACGAUAGCUAAUACCGCAUAAUAGUAGAUGUCGCAUGACAUUUGCUUAAAAGGUGCAAUUGCAUCACUACCAGAUGGACCUGCGUUGUAUUAGCUAGUUGGUGAGGUAACGGCUCACCAAGGCAACGAUACAUAGCCGACCUGAGAGGGUGAUCGGCCACACUGGGACUGAGACACGGCCCAGACUCCUACGGGAGGCAGCAGUAGGGAAUCUUCGGCAAUGGACGGAAGUCUGACCGAGCAACGCCGCGUGAGUGAAGAAGGUUUUCGGAUCGUAAAGCUCUGUUGUAAGAGAAGAACGAGUGUGAGAGUGGAAAGUUCACAAUGUGACGGUAUCUUACCAGAAAGGGACGGCUAACUACGUG
rnacentral:rRNA from 1 species